CAGGGGUUCUAGCUCUCAGGUAAAUACAGAGUUCAAUACACAGGUGAGUAUUCACAGGGCUAAGCUGUUAGCGUGCAGGGGUUCUAGCUCUCAAGUAAGUACAGUGUUCCAUACACAGGUGAGUAUUCACAGGGCUGGGCUGUUAAUGUGCAGAGGUUCUAGCUCUCAGGUAAAUACAGUGUUCGAUACACAGGUGGGUAUUCACAGGGCUGGGCUGUUAGCGUGCAGGGGUUCUAGCUCUCAGGUAAGUACAGUGUUCGAUACACAGGUAAGUAUUCACAGGGCUGAGCUGUUAGCGUGCAGGGGUUCUAGCUCUCAAUGUAAGUACAGUGUUCCAUACACAGGUGGGUAUUCACAGGGCUGAGCUGUUAGCGUGCAGGGGUUCUAGCUCUCAAGUAAGUACAGUGUUCAAUACACAGGUGAGUAUUCACGGGGCUGGGCUGUUAAUACGCUACUCACCACUGAAGAUAUUCAGAGGUCUGUAUUCCAAGCAGAUACGGGUUUAGUCGAUGACUGACGGCUGGUGGGCCUUACAGAUGAAACUGCAAACAAUACUGGGCUUCCCGC